ensembl:lncRNA
AAUCAUAGAAUCAUAGAAUCGCUAAGGCUGGAAAAGACCCACAGGAUCAUCCAGUCCAACCAUCCGCCCUUCAUCAAUGGUUCUUGCUAAACCAUGUCCCUCAACACAACAUCCAAACGCUCUUUAAACACUACCAGGCUCGGUGACUCCACUACCUCUCUGGGCAGCCCAUUCCAGUGCCUGACCACCCUUUCAGAGAAGUAGUAUUUCCUAACGUCCAGCCUGAACCUUCCCUGACGCAGCUUGAAGCCAUUCCCUCUCGUUCUAUCACUAGUCACCUGGGAGAAGAGGCUGACCCCCAGCUCACCACAACCUCCCUUCAGGUCAUCAAUAAAGAUAUUAAAGAGGACAGGCCCCAGCACCGACCCCUGGGGAACACCACUCGUGACUGGUCGCCAGCUGGAUUUAACUCCAUUCACUACCACUCUCUGGGCCCGGCCCUCCAGCCAGUUCCUUACCCAGCGAAGAAUGUAUCUGUCCGAGCCACGGACUGCCAGCUUGUGGAGGAGAAUACUGUGGGAGACAGUGUCAAAGGCUUUGCUGAAGUCUAGGUAGACCACAUCAACAGCCUUUCCCUCAUCCACCAGAUGGGUCACUGGAUCAUAGAAGGAGAUCAGGUUGGUCAAGCAGGACCUGCCCUUCGUGAACCCAUGCUGGCUAGGCCUGAUCCCCCGGUUGACCUGCAUGUGCCGCGUGAUCUCCCUCAAGACAAUCUGCUCCAUAAUCUUCCCCGGCACCGAGGUCAGGCUAACAGGCCUGUAGUUCCCUGGAUCCUCCCUGCAGCC